GUGGUGGAUAUGGAGGAUAACCAAACUGUUCUGCAUCCACCGCCUUCCAACAAUAAAGGAGAAAACAGCAGGAAACAAUCCAAGGUGUUUGCCUUUGACCACUGUUUCUGGUCCAUGGAUGAGUCCAACAUGCCCAAGUAUGCUGGUCAAGAGGUGGUGUUCCAGUGCCUUGGUGAGGGAAUACUGGAAAACGCCUUUCAAGGAUACAAUGCCUGCAUUUUCGCCA